CACGCCCUAAACGAUGUCGACUAGUCGUUCGGAGAGGUAACUCACUGAGUGACGCAGCUAACGCGUGAAGUCGACCGCCUGGGGAGUACGGCCGCAAGGUUAAAACUCAAAGGAAUUGACGGGGACCCGCACAAGCGGUGGAUGAUGUGGAUUAAUUCGAUGCAACGCGAAAAACCUUACCUACCCUUGACAUGCCUGGAAUCCUUGAGAGAUCAGGGAGUGCCUUCGGGAACCAGGACACAGGUGCUGCAUGGCUGUCGUCAGCUCGUGUCGUGAGAUGUUGGGUUAAGUCCCGCAACGAGCGCAACCCUUGUCGCUAAUUGCCAUCAUUUGGUUGGGCACUUUAGCGAGACUGCCGGUGACAAACCG
rnacentral:rRNA from 1 species